AGAAAGUGGGCAGCGGCCUGCGCCAGUGGAAGCGGGUGUACGCCGCGCUGCUGGCGCGCUCGCUCUCGCUGAGCAAGGAGCGGCGGGAGCCCGGGCUGGCGGCGGCGGGGGCUGCGGCGGCCGGCGCAGGCUGAGGACCGGGAUGACAUGCUGGGCUGGAUCAGAGCGAUCCGGGAGAACAGCAGGGCCGAGGGCGAGGACCCCGGCUGUGCCAACCAAGCUCUGAUCAGCAAGAAGCUUAAUGAUUAUCGCAAAGUGAGCCAUAGCUCUGGGCCUAAAGCUGAUUCCUCCCCCAAAGGCUCUCGCGGCCUGGGGGGCCUCAAGUCUGAGUUCCUCAAGCAGAGUGCGGCACGUGGCCUCAGGACUCAGGACCUGCCUGCAGGGAGCAAGGAUGACAGUGCUGCAGCCCCCAAAACCCCCUGGGGCAUCAACAUCAUCA
rnacentral:lncRNA from 1 species